rnacentral:rRNA from 1 species
GACGAACCGUGCGAACGUUGUUCGGAAUCACUGGGCUUAAAGGGCGCGUAGGCGGGCUGACAAGUCUGGGGUGAAAUCCCGCGGCUCAACCGUGGAACUGCCUUAGAUACUGUCGGCCUCGAGGAAGGUAGGGGCAUGCGGAACUGUAGGUGGAGCGGUGAAAAUGCGUUGAUAUCUACAGGAACUCCGGUGGCGAAAGCGGCGUGCUGGACCUUUUCUGACGCUGAGGCGCG